rnacentral:rRNA from 1 species
CCUACGGGUGGCUGCAGUAGGGAAUCUUCCACAAUGGACGAAAGUCUGAUGGAGCAACGCCGCGUGUGUGAUGAAGGGUUUCGGCUCGUAAAACACUGUUGUAAGAGAAGAAUGACAUUGAGAGUAACUGUUUCGUGUGUGACGGUAUCUUACCAGAAAGGAACGGCUAAAUUCGUGCCAGCAGGCGCGGGAAUACGUAUGUUCCAGGCGUUAUUCGGAUUUAUUGGGCGUAAAGCGAGCGCAGACGGUUGUGUAAGGCCGAAGGGAAAGCGCACAGGCUAACUGUGGAAGUGCUUUGGAAACUGGAGAACUUGAGUGCAGUAGAGGAGAGUGGAAUUCCAUGUGUAGCGGUGAAAUGCGUAGAUAUAUGGAAGAACACCAGUGGCGAAGGCGGCUCUCUGGACUGUAACUGACGUUGAGGCUCGAAAGUGUGGGUAGCAAACAGGAUUAGAUACCCGUGUAGUC